rnacentral:ncRNA from 1 species
CAGAGUAGACUGCAUUGCGUCAAGUGCCGUGCGAACGGGGAGUUGUCGUACGGACGAAGCGGUUUCGCGCGGUAUUGCAGUCGCAUCCCGCUG